AUGCAUUUGAAGGUCAAAUCUGAGUUUUAUCCUUAUGGCCCGCAGUAUGGCAAACUGUUGCACGUAUAUACAACAGAGUCUGUUUCCAAGCAAUUUCCAAGGGCCAGAAGAAACAAACCAAGCCAACCAGUCCUUCCCUGUCUCAUGGAGGUGAGCAUAGUGCAGAAUGCCAUGAAGAUGAAGCCAAGAUAGAAGCAAAACUGUGCUGAAACCAGUCCGAGGAGUCCCUGAAGCAACAGUAAUGAAUUAAAACCAUUCAUAAUGAAAGAAAAACAUUAAUGACAGCAGAAAUUUCUUUUCCUCAUUCAUGAUGAAACAGAAGUUUUCAUUUUGUAUUGAAAGGGGAGGAAAACAUCUGGGGUCUGAAUGCCUUUUUUUCCCCA
rnacentral:lncRNA from 1 species